rnacentral:rRNA from 1 species
ACGCUGGCGGCAUGCCUAACACAUGCAAGUCGAACGAAGGCUUCGGCCUUAGUGGCGCACGGGUGCGUAACGCGUGGGAAUCUGCCCAAAGGUACGGAAUAACUCCUCGAAAGGGGUGCUAAUACCGUAUGAUGUCGCAAGACCAAAGAUUUAUCGCCUUUGGAGGAGCCCGCGUAGGAUUAGGUAGUUGGUGAGGUAAAGGCUCACCAAGCCGACGAUCCUUAGCUGGUCUGAGAGGAUGAUCAGCCACACUGGGACUGAGACACGGCCCAGACUCCUACGGGAGGCAGCAGUGGGGAAUAUUGGACAAUGGGCGAAAGCCUGAUCCAGCAAUGCCGCGUGAGUGAUGAAGGCCUUAGGGUUGUGAAGCUCUUUUACCCGGGAAGAUAAUGACUGUACCGGGAGAAUAAGCCCCGGCUAACUCCGUG